GACAAGCAUUCGACAACUCCACUUCAAGGAAAACCAAGAUGAUCAUCAUGAAAACUUCAACCGUUGAAGAUGAUGAGAAGUUAAAACAAGUCGAUGGCAUCACGUGACCAUAUUACAUGGUGUCGUUUGAUAACUACCAGCUGGUGCGAGUUGUAUGAACAACUGAUGCAGUUAUAGAAACUAGAAACAAAACAGCUGCAAAUAUUGAGGCGGCGAAUACGAUAAACGGGGCAACAGAGGAAAGAUGACGUUUUCAUUCUCGAUGAAAAUCAACUUUGACACCGCCUGUAUAUGAGGCGAUGAAUAUGAAGAAAUAUCUUUGACUUGGCUUCUCAUGUUGAGCCAUCAACUUUUACAUCGACGACGUUUAUUCUACUGAUGAACUUUUUCAACAACAGCGACAUUGGUUAUGCUGAAUAUCAACUUUUACUUUGUGUUUCGACAAGUUUGCAGAGUGCAAACUCCCACAACUACGCAGAAUUUUUCUGCUGUUAGAAUGUAUUUUAUUUGACAGAAGUAACAUCAGUUACUUAAAUGUAUUUUUUGACUUGAUAUACUCCGUUUAUUGACGAAUGCUGAAAUUCUCAGCUUAAACUUAGAAAUUAUUCUUCCGACUUUCAUGUUUCCACACGUGACUCGACUUAUCGACAUAGUAAUUUUUAUAACUACGUAAAAACACAAUGACCGACCGAAAGGUGGCAAAAUAACGACAACACCAGAAAUGAUGUUUGAAAUCGUGUUGUAACAUGUUCUUGUGUUGUGUGACUGUUUCGUAUUUUUGGACAAAACCUGGACAUAUGUUAAGGUAAUAAAAUACAGUCCGAUGUAAAAACUUGUAACGUAUGUACGACAUUAUAGUGGAGUAGCCGAAAAAAACAUAUGUAUUAAUGUUUGGAAAUAAGAACUCGAUUAAACGUUUCAAAUAGAUUACAUGACGUAGAUCACGAGAAACGAGAAAUCGUACAUAUAGUUUUACGGGGUAAUAUAAAACACAUUUGGUACACUAUAUCAAAACAUCCUAAUCGUGUUUUAAACAAUUAAAAAUGGUUCAUAGAAGUCGUAAGAAAAUAUGAUACAUUUAUCCAUGCUUUUGUUUACUACCACAAAGAACAAGAAAGAUCAAAAUCAAAUUCGUAGGAAACAGGUUUUGACCAAACUUAAGUACCUAUUCCAUGUUGAUAAAACCAAAGUAAACAAACACAAGCAACGGAUGUUUGAAAAGAGUUAGAUAUUUUAUUUAUAGCACAAAUUUUCGCAGUACACCGUAUUAUAAAAUUAUUAAAAUGUCGUUGGAUCAAUAAUGUGUUGGCACACAAGUUGAAAGUUAGAUGCGAUCAACAUUCCAUUUUUACUGUUUGUUCUACAAAUCUGAAUAAUUGUUGCAAAUAAUAAAAAACAUGCAAUUAGGAAAUAUGAUACCAAAUCUCAUUCAGACUCAUGAGAUCGUGUAGUUUUGCCAACUCACAAUGGUCGCGUGGAUAAGCUACCUCAACAUAUGUUGUCAUCCGCCGGUGAUAUGUAAUCGACACCAGAAUCUUCAUUCGGGAUGUGGGAAAGCUUUGUAGGCGCCUGUUCAGGCGUUUCGACAAUAGUUUCGGUGUCGAAUUCACUUUGUCAUAUAUGUUUACUUGUUAUGUGGGGUACGCUGGGCUCACUAUAAAUACGAGAACACCUCCUCAUCCAAGUCAUUAGCGACACGCAUUCGACAAUUACACUUCAAGGAAAACCAAGAUGAUCAUCAUGAAAACUUCAACCGUUGAAGAUGAUGAGAAGUUAAAACAAGUCGAUGGCAUCACGUGACCGUAUCACGUGGUAUAUCGUUUAAUAACUACCAGCUGAUGCAAGUUGUAUGAACAACUGAUGUAGUGAAAGAAACAAGAAACAAACCAGCUGCAAAUAUUGAGCGAAUACGACAAACGGAGAAACAAAGGAAAGAUGACAUUUUCAUUCUCGAUGAAAAUCAACUUUAACACCGCUUAUAUAUGAGGCGAUGAAUAUGAAGAAAUAUCUUUGACUUGGCUUCUCAUGUUGAGCCAUCAACUUUUAAAUCGACGACGUUCAUUCUACUGAUGAACAUUUUCAACAACAGCGACAUUGGUUAUGCUGAAUAUUAACUUUUACUUUGUGUUUCGACAAGUUUGCAGAGUGCAAAUUCUCACAACUACGCAGCAAAUUAUCUGCUGUUAGAAUGUAUUUUAUUU